GGGAAGUAAAAAAGUCGUAACAAGGUUUCCGUAGGUGAACCUGCGGAAGGAUCAUUAUUGAAUAAACUUGGCGUGGUUGAGCUGACUCUCUCGGGAGUAUGUGCUCGCUCGUCAUCUUUAUCUUUCCACCUGUGCACUUUUUGUAGAUUUGGAUGUAACUUUCUGAGGCAACUCAGUUGGGAGGAAUGCUAUUUCGAUGGCUUUCCUUGUAUGUCCAAGUCUAUGUUUUCAUAUACUCCAAGUAUGUAACAGAAUGUAUCACUGGGCCUUGUGCCUAUAAACCUUAUACAACUUUCAGCAACGGAUCUCUUGGCUCUCGCAUCGAUGAAGAACGCAGCGAAAUGCGAUAAGUAAUGUGAAUUGCAGAAUUCAGUGAAUCAUCGAAUCUUUGAACGCACCUUGCGCCCCUUGGUAUUCCGAGGGGCAUGCCUGUUUGAGUGUCAUUAAAUUCUCAACCUUACUAGCUUUUGCGAAGUAAUGGCUUGGAUGUGGGGGUCUUUUGCUGGUUUCGAAAGAAAUCUGCUCCCCUUAAAUGUAUUAGCCGGUGCCCCGCGUGGACCGUCUAUUGGUGUGAUAAUUAUCUACGCCGUUAGACGUCUGCUAUUAAAUGGGAUUGCGCUGCUUCUAAUCGUCCUCUUAGGACAAUUAUUGACCAUUUGACCUCAAAUCAGGUAGGCAUCUACCCGCUGAACUUAAGCAUAUCAAUAAGCGGAGGAAAAGAAACUAACAAGGAUUCCCCUAGUAACUGCGAGUGAAGCGGGAAAAGCUCAAAUUUAAAAGCUGGCAGUCUUUGAUUGUCCGCGUUGUAAUCUAGAGAAGUGUUACCCGCGUUGGACCGUGUACAAGUCUCCCUGGAAUGAGCGUCAUAGAGGGUGACAAUCCCGUCUUUGACACGGACUCCCCAAAGGCUUUGUGAUGCGCUCUCAAGAGUUCGCGUUGUUGGAGAAUGCCAGCGCGCCAAAAAAUUG
rnacentral:rRNA from 1 species